rnacentral:rRNA from 1 species
AGAGUUUGAUCAUGGCUCAGGAUGAACGCUGGCGGCGUGCUUAACACAUGCAAGUCGAACGGAGAUAUUUAAAAUGAGAGCUUCGGCAGGAAUUUUAAUUAUCUUAGUGGCGGACGGGUGAGUAACGUGUGGGCAACCUGCCUCAUACCGGGGAAUAAUCAUUGGAAACGAUGACUAAUACCGCAUGUCACCUUGGGAGGGCAUCCUCUUGAGGGAAAAGGAGAAAUUCGGUAUGAGAUGGGCCCGCAUCUGAUUAGCUUGUUGGUGAGAUAACAGCCCACCAAGGCGACGAUCAGUAGCCGACCUGAGAGGGUAAUCGGCCACAUUGGGAUUUAGACACGGCCCAAACUCCUACGGGAGGCAGCAGUGGGGAAUAUUGCACAAUGGGGGAAACCCUGAUGCAGCAACGCCGCGUGAAGGAAGAAGGUUUUCGGAUUGUAAACUUCUAUCAACAGGGACGAAUUAAGUGACGGUACCUGAAUAAGAAGCCCCGGCUAACUACGUGCCAGCAGCCGCGGUAAUACGUAGGGGGCAAGCGUUAUCCGGAAUUACUGGGUGUAAAGGGAGCGCAGGCGGCAUGGUAAGCCAGAUGUGAAAGCCCGAGGCUUAACUUCGAGGAUUGCAUUUGGAACUAUCAAGCUAGAGUACAGGAGAGGAAAGCGGAAUUCCUAGUGUAGCGGUGAAAUGCGUAGAUAUUAGGAAGAACACCGGUGGCGAAAGCGGCUUUCUGGACUGAAACUGACGCUGAGGCUCGAAAGCGUGGGGAGCAAACAGGAUUAGAUACCCUGGUAGUCCACGCU